GAUUUUUGGUGGUGUUGGGUGGGGGAAUAAGGUUUAUGGGGGCCGGAGAACAUGAUAAAGGGUGGUUUCGGGGCUGCGGUGGUCGGGAAGGAGUGGAAUCAGAACUGAAGUUCGUGAAGGUGGAGGUUGGUUGCGGUUUUCGCGGGUUAGGGUUCGUUUGGAUGGGUGGCGCGACGGUUAAGGGGAGGUCGGAGUAAUAGGGGGUGGGUCGGCCGGCUGUGAGUGAUCUGGACGCCGACCGACCGAUUUCUGGGCUGGGGGAGAGGGGAGCUGUGUGAAGGGGAGGAGGAGAGGGAAUGGUGGCAAGAUGGUGGGGAAGGUGGUGGCAGGGGUGGUGGUUUUUUUUUUUUUUUUUUUUUUUUUGAAUUUUGGACAAAUCAAAUUGUGACACGUGUAAAUUAAACUUAAAAAAAAAAAAUUUACCCAUUAACCGGUUUCUGGUCAAAAUGGGACCAAUAAAAAUUAAAGGCACCCAAAGGUCGGAUUAUUAAAUGAUAAUCUAAGGUGGGAUUAUUCCCAUGAAUUUUUCCUUUAAUAUAAAGAAACUAACUUGGGGGGUCUGCACACUUAGGAUAGGAAAUUGGAAUAAAGGAAUGGAUUUUCAAUGCUUUGAAAACAAAAUUGAUAUUUAUUGAAUUUUGAGUAUUGAGUUAUUGGAAUUAUUUUGAGAAUCUUGAGAGUUGGUUUUAAAUUAUAAGGUUUGGAAUUAUUGAAAUAAAUAUUGGAAUUUCACGAUUGGUUUUAGAAGGGGAAAAUUCAAGUUUAUAUACAGGUCUAAACUUCUGGCAUUUAUCCUGGGGUAGUAAUGUCAUUUUGCUCUUUAAAUGAUGGGGUACCUUUGGAAAUAGGAAGCCACAGCUGUUGACGUUGGGUAACUCCCCGUCAAGUUGAUAUAACUGUGCUUGAGAAGAGCAAUACUUAACCCUGGUUAAGGAACUGGAAGGAAUUGAAUGCAAACGAAUUUUCCAACGCCAAACAAAUUCAACUCCCGGUUUGUCGAAAAAUUCCAUGUACUGUGAUUUGUCGGACGGUGAUUGUUCUCGGAGUCACAUUCUUCCGGUGGGUGGACGCAAAAUCAAUGAAGCCCGCAAUUGAACAGGAUAAUGCAUUGUCUGUUGGUGGGAGUGUGAAAGAAAAUCAGGUUGUGCUUUCAGAACGUAGGAGAAGUAGUAGUCGGCCUCCUAACUUGACAUGUCGUAUUGAGUCGUUUGGGAGGAUAUGUCAGAGAUUUGAUACCAGACGAUGUGUUUGGGUUAAAGAGAUGGGUUUUGGUGGGUUGUUGAGCAUCCCUGAUGACUUGCAACUUCCUAGGCGGAUUGGUUACUGGUUAAUGUCGCACAUAGAUCCUAUUUCUAGGAAAUUAAUCGGUUGUGAUGGAAAGGAGUUCUGGUUCUCCAAGAAUCAGGUGCAAUGGGUCCUUGGUAUACCCAAUGGUGGUCUUCCUGUUCCUAGUUACAAAACUAUGAAUUUUGAGAAGAGGGAAAAGGUUAAUGAAAUACAUGGUAAGUAUGGUAAGUCAUUGCAGAGCAAAUCUUCCAGGGAAUGUGGUCGUGUGUAUUACUCUACAAGUAUUCCUGUUGAUUCAAAGAUAAUGGAUAUGUUGGAGGGUGUUUGGGAGGAGGAUCAGGAAGAAGAACUUAAGACUCUUUUUUUGUUAGUAGCUCUUUAUUUGGUGUUGUGCCCCACACAGUCUCCUCAACUAGCAGUUGACUUGAUUCCUGCUUUAACAUAUGUGCCAAGAACUGUGCAAGCUAUGACUGGUGUGGUCUUGUGCUUGAUAACCUGAUGGAAUCGGUUUCCAGUUUUGCCUGCCGAUUUUAUGCUUCUGGUUAUGCGGUCAGUUGUGGUGGUUGUUCUAUUUUUGUUGUGUUAUUCUAUUUGGAUAGGUUGAACAGAAGCCCUGUAGAUUGGGGUGUGUUUCCUUGUAUUAAGGUUUGGAGUAUGAAGCUAAUCCGCAAUGCUUGUAGAGCUGAUCGAAGUACGGUGACUGGAGACUUUGGGAAAUUGGGGAUGUUAGAUGUUGCGUAUGGUGAGCAUCACCCAAGGUGUUCCAGAGACAUCGAAGCGCCAACACAGAUUGAGCAGGGUGAUUGUCUUGCACAUUUGAGGUCAAGGAAGAGGAGGCGAGCAACGACCGAUAAAACUCCGUUCAUGCGUAAGCGUGAUAAGGCAUAAUCUGGGGUCGGUCAAAUCGUCGUUCGCGCAGGGUCUUAUUUGUGCCCUCGAUUCAAAAUAUUCAUAGGGCGUUCUCUUGAAAUUCAUCCAAUAAUAGACCGGUGUGAAAUCACAGUGUUCUUUCCCAACUGUUUGAAAAAGGUUGUAUUCAUAACGUCAUCGAACAAUAUGUCUUUUAAACCGUUAGCUGUUUUCAUCUCACUUCGUCACUGUGAAGCAAUCAUAUUGGAGUCUGGAAUUCAGUCUAUUACUGUUGGAUUCCUGAUCAAUGAGCUUUCGUGUUUGGUGAAACUGCUGCAAAUGUACUUAUGUCGGAGCAACACAUUUUCUUAUUGGAGGACUAGGCAAAUAUGUAACAACCCUCUGAGACGUAAGUAACUCUGGUGGAAUCGGAUAUUUGGUUAGUUGCUGAUGCUGUGGCUAUUUCUUAAGACUUCAUUGUGUUGAGUCUGAACUUCUUGACUUCUUUUUUUAUGAUAUGUGUUUGUGUGUGUCAUGUUAUGCAUUUAUUUUACUAGUAACACUUACAUUACUUAUUUACAAACGUAGAUAUAAAGUAAUAAGAUAUUAUGUGGUUAUCAAGUUAAACAACCAGUUAUCAUAAUUAUGGUAAUAGAGGAAAAUUAGUGUAAUUGAAAGGCAUAUAUGUUAAACAUGUAGUGGUCCAUAACCUUUGUUCAAUAUUGAAAUGGAUUGUUGUUAUUGUAAUUGGGCCUCAAACUGUUAUGAUAAAAUGUUAUAAUUGGGCCUCAAACUGUUAUUUUUAAAUAGUGGCCCAUAACCUUUGUUCAAUAUUAUGAUAAAAUGUUAUACUUCACAUUUAUAUUCAUCCACUACUCAUUAAAUUACUCAAUACAUUAAUAUUCAUCCACUUUUCAAUACAUUACAAUGAUAACAUAAAUACGGCUACUUCUCAUUAAUAUUCAUCCACUACUCAAUACAUUACAGUGAUAACAUAAAAACGCCCUACAUUUGGAUCUUUUUAAAGACCCAUUCUUUUAGAUAUCCGCUCAUGGAAUCCUAAUACACCUAUUCCUUUUGAGGCCCCAAAAAAAGACUUGAGCAUAGAGUCCUACAUUAAACACAUACUUUCCACGAACAAUAAUUUGGUUCUUGUUCAAUCUUUUCAAAACGGAAACAUUUGUUGAAGGAUAUUAUGACUAACCCACCUAGUACACCAACCCUUGACCUCCCACGUAUCCUGUGUAUGUAAAUGCCUUGACAGAUAACCCGAGCCAUGUGUAUUGAUACACGGGUUUCAGUCAAGACAAUCACAUCCGGCAUUUGCAUUUCAACCAGCAAUGAGAGACUCGGUAAGAAGGUUUAGCGAGCCAUAACCCUGCAAUUCCAUAUAACAAAUGUAGCCGUUGUUGUUCCUUCUUUAAGCGCCUCUACCGUGAAUUCCAACUGAGUUCUUCCAUCAAUCGAGUUCUUAGAGAGCCAGGUAGAUGCCAUCCCCAUUCGUCUUAAUUGUGCACCACACUCAGUUGUAGCUGUUCCCAAUUAAGGAAUGCUUACCCGGCAUCAGGCAACAUCUUUCAAUUACCUUUGGAAUCUCUGAAGUUGGGUCGACCAAUGCCUUUAUAGACCUUGAUUAUGUGCUGCACACCUAAACCUUUAGCACCACCCUCUGCUUCAAGAACUUUCCUCACCAUCGUCUUCAACACAGCAGGUAAGAGAGCUAAAUCAGAGAGGUCGGGCAAGUAAGCUGGGUAGACCUUGUUAUCUUUCAUUAUAAUAACCAUGGCACAUAGUGUUGCAAUCCAACCAGCAACUUCUGAGGCAGCAACUACUUUUAGCUCCAGAUUCCCAUCUGGACUUAGCAGAGGGCUCUUUAGUACGCCAAUUAGCCCUUAUCCAAGGUUGGUAACACCUACAAUUGGGUGCGAUGUAGUUACUGCAGUCUGUAGUUUUUGUAUUGACAAUAAAUUCUGAUUCGCUCUCACUCUUUUGUUGGAGGAAAGUGUGAUAUUAUCGUAUAGGUUUGGAGGUUGUUUUCUUUUAAAUGGUUGGAGGAAAGCCGAGGUUGUUUUCUUUUUUUUGUUUUUUUUCCUUUUGUGGGGACAUGUCCCACAAAAAAUCUUAAGGUUAAAUGCAGAAAUAGUUUCCUUACACAUAGAACAACAUUGCUACGUAACACCACUUACUAGUAACACAUGUUCUAAUGAUGCUAAUACUAGAGAACUCUAGUAUUGGGCAAAAGAGUUUCUCUCUUCACAAUGGCAGUAGUCCAGGUGGUUGGGGAAAGAGCUUGUAAGUGGGCUG